UUCUUAGCAUCGCUAAGUGCACUUAACGGCAAAGAAUCGUUAAGUUUUCUACUUAAAAUGGCGCUGGGCCGCUUAGCGGUGAAGCUGGAGCACUUAGCGGGCGGAAAAUUUAAGGCGGGGAAGGGGCUCCCUUAGCACCGUUAAAAAUGCAUAAGUAUUGCAACAUGGUGGAUUACAGCGGGAUGAAAGGCAUCACCUCCUAAUGUAUCUGCCUCGUCUAGACGAAUUGGAGGCGUGUAAGGAUUUGAAACUCAUCCUGAAAUAUCUGUGGACUGUGCUGACCGUGCUGAGAUGAGUGGUUCGGCGAGGCGGACCUUGGAAACACCUACAUGGCCAUCACGACUGAAGUGGUGUUCGCCGACAGGUAAAAUGCAGGUGCAACCUUCACAGGCUGACAGAGAUUGAGCGAUAACAGACACUGGAGACCCUCCAAGCGAUGGCUGGUGACCGCCUGCCACCAUCCACAGGCUGUUACACAAGGAGCCCUGGGAGUAACCUUGCUGGAAGCCCCGCGGGCCGCAGUGUGUGGCUGGCGUUAUACAGCCCCCAGCCAUCGCCUGGAGGGCAUCCAGUGUCUGUUAUCACUCACCUUAGGUAGUCUGUGAAGGUCCAGUCAUCACUGGUGCACGUGUAUCUUACCUUUGAUCAACACCGGCAGCCACAGACUCCUGCCCAAGGAACGAACACAGUGAUCGUGAUGACAUUGACAACAACGAGCAAGUCCUCCUAGACCUAGAGUGACCUCAAGCUGGGCCAAACAUGAUGUGGAAGAAGAAAUCAGUUGUCUCCAUCAGUCGGGUUUGUGCCAUGGCAGCUUUCUCCAGCUGUCCGGCAGAGGUCCAGUCCAUGCCAUGGAGAAAUUCAGCAUGCCAGAGAUGGAUCCGCAGCUUCUCCUCCAAUCAGUCAAUCCUUGCAAUGCCCUUUCUCUUUUCUCUUCUUCUGUACCACCAUGCUUACACAUAACUGAUCCAAGGUACUUAAACUCGUUAACCUCCUCCAUUUCUUCACCAUUCAAAAUUAUUUGGCAUUCUUUUUCACAUUCAAUGCCCACUCUAUAUGGGCAUACAAACUCUACAACCUCCCUUCUACUCCGCUCACAAACCAUCACUUUACUUUUGUUGACAUUUACUUUCAACUUUCUCCUUUUACAUACACUAUCAAAAACACUGACCAAAUUUUGUAAGUCACUUUCAUUUUCUGCAUUGAGCACCGUGUCAUCAGCAAAUAAGAUUGAAUUCAUCACCCACUUCCCUCCCUCCCUCAGCAUACAUUUUUACUUCAAUUUCCCCAACUUUGCCUUUCAUUUCUCAUAACACCAUCCAUAUAAAUAUUGAACAACCACGAUGACAUGACACACCCCUGCCUUAGCCCACUUUCAUCUUAAAAUGUUCACUUGUUUCUCCAGUAAUUUUGACACAUGCAGAUGCAUCCUCAUAGAAAGACUUUAUUGCAUAAAGCAGUUUUCCUCCCACACCAUAUAUCUUUAAGACGUCCCACAAUGCCAGCCAAUCGACUCUGUCAUGAACUUUCUUUAGAAUAACUAGAUCCAUGAAGGCAGCAUAGUAUUUUUUCCUUUUGCUAAUAUUUUUUCUAACAAAACACCAUCCUGAAGGAAAAUAUCUGAUCCACACAUCCUCUUCCCUUCCUGAAGUCUCCUUGUUCUUCACUGAUUUUCUCUUCUGUAAGUCUUUGCGCAGUCUCAAUUAGGACUUUUCCAUAUACCUUUCCAGGUAGCCUACACUCAGCAGACUUAUACCCCUACAACUCCCACCUC